rnacentral:rRNA from 1 species
CCCUUAGAUGUUCUGGGCUGCACGCGUGCUACAAUGGCGCUUGCAACAAGAUUGUCAACCCGAAAGGGUGAGCGGAUCUUUGAAGUGGCGUCGUGAUCGGGACAGUUGAUUGCAAUUAUUCGACUCGAACGAGGAAUUCCUUGUAAUCGCGAUUCAUCAUAUCGCGCUGAAUACGUCCCUGCCCUUUGUACACACCGCCCGUCGCUCCUACCGAUUGAGCGAUCCGGUGAAUGUUUUGGACUGGUGUCCGCAAGCGUUUCGCUUCGGACGCUACGAAAUUUUGUAAACCUUAUCGCUUAGAGGAAGGAAAAGUCGUAACA